GACGAACGCUGGCGGCGUGCCUAAUACAUGCAAGUCGAGCGGACGAAUCGAAAGCUUGCUUUUGAUUCGUUAGCGGCGGACGGGUGAGUAACACGUGGGCAACCUGCCCUGUGGACGGGGAUAACACCGAGAAAUCGGUGCUAAUACCGGAUAACACGAAAUGUCGCAUGACGUUUCGUUGAAAGACGGCGCAAGCUGUCGCUACAGGAUGGGCCCGCGGCGCAUUAGCUAGUUGGUGAGGUAACGGCUCACCAAGGCGACGAUGCGUAGCCGACCUGAGAGGGUGAUCGGCCACACUGGGACUGAGACACGGCCCAGACUCCUACGGGAGGCAGCAGUAGGGAAUCUUCCGCAAUGGACGAAAGUCUGACGGAGCAACGCCGCGUGAGCGAAGAAGGCCUUCGGGUCGUAAAGCUCUGUUGUUAGGGAAGAACAAGUAACGCAGUAACUGGCGUUACCGUGACGGUACCUAACGAGAAAGCCACGGCUAACUACGUG
rnacentral:rRNA from 1 species